rnacentral:rRNA from 1 species
UACAGAGGGUGCGAGCGUUGUCCGGAAUCACUGGGCGUAAAGGGCGCGUAGGUGGCGCUGCAAGUCGGUGGUGAAAGCUCGUCGCUUAACGACGAGUCGGCCAUCGAAACUGCAGGGCUGGAGCACUGUAGGGGCUAGUGGAAUUCCGGGUGUAGCGGUGGAAUGCGUAGAGAUCCGGAAGAACACCAGUGGCGAAGGCGGUUAGCUGGGCAGUUGCUGACACUGAGGCGCGACAGCGUGGGGAGCAAACAGG